UGAAUCUAUUGUUUUACGCCAAGGGUCAAAUCAGCAAACGACAAAACAUGCUGGUAACUUUGAAUUCAUUAAUGUGGACAGUAUAACCAGCGAGGACGAGAACGAUUAUGAGGACAAUCUUUUCGACGACGACGAAAGCCAUGUCAUUGUAGACGACGAAGACCAUCUCAUAGACGACAACGAGGAGCAUUUAAGUCAGACAGUUGCAAAACACGACGUCGUUUACGAUGCAGAGACUUUAUUUUCAAACUUGUCGGAAUUCGUUAACCUUGAGGAGUCGCGAAAGGCGAACAAAAAUCAUUCUUUUAAAAUCAAAAACCAAAACGGAAAAAUUAUUUCAAUAAACAUAAGCACAUUUCUGUGGAUCUGCAAGCCAAACAUUGAACGGUGUAAUACCGACCGGACUAAGCGUUUCCAUGAAAAAUCUAAUAAAGCUGUAUUGCCGCUAAACACGACCGACGAGUCAAAAUCAGCGAUUCGAAGAGGUGAAUGGGUAGUAAUGCGGUAUUACAGCAAGUUUGUUAUCGUUCACGUACAUGGAUUUAAAUACUUAUCGGGUAGCAGAACCACAUUUACUCUGGAUGAGUGUCCUAUCGUCGCACCCACGAGCAGUACUUCGAAAGGCGUAGGAGUUUUGGGCCUGUUUUUUUCGGUUGGAGACACACUGGCGCUAAAAUUAGAACCAAUGGUAUUAAACGGAAACAUAAACAUCGCAAACUACGUAACGCAUCUACAACCUCCAGUACACAAUGGAUCUAGCUGGAUGCUCUUAUCCCGUCAACUGGACUACCUUAAAUCCUUUGUAGAACAGCAACCUUGAUUAGUAAGAAGAGCUGAAUGAUUUUAACCGCCCCCAACACGAACCAUAAACAAACAAAAUGAUUGAAACCCGAUUAUCGAAACCGAAGGCAACUCAACAACAACACAAAUCUCGAGCUAAUCCACGCGCUCAUGUGGUGCACCGAUGUCCCGGUUGCCCACAGGGAAUGGCGGCCAAUCUCAGCUGUCAGGACUUUGACGCACACGCCAACCUAAUUGGAAUGAACUUAAUCUGCAAGACGAGAUGGGCCGGGCACCAGCACCAAGCUGACGUCCGUAACGAUCGACGACGACCUGGCCGACGAAGAGCUUCGUGUUUUCGCGCUAGCAGUCACAACUACGAGUUGGUCCAGGACCAGCUGACGUCCGUAACGAUCGACGACGACCUGGCCGACGAAGAGCUCCGUGUUUUCGCGCUAGCAGUCACAACUACGAGUUGGUCCAGGACCAGCUGACGUCCGUAACGAGCGACGACGACCUGGCCGACGACGUGCUUUACGUUUCUCCGCUGGGCAGUGACAACUAAAAGUGGGUCGAGCUAAUCCACGCGCUCAUGUGGUGCACCGAUGUCCCGGUUGCCCACAGGGAAUGGCGGCCAAUCUCAGCUGUCAGGACUUUGACGCACACGCCAACCUAAUUGGAAUGAACUUAAUCUGCAAGACGAGAUGGGCCGGGCACCAGCACCAAGCUGACGUCCGUAACGAUCGACGACGACCUGGCCGACGAAGAGCUUCGUGUUUUCGCGCUAGCAGUCACAACUACGAGUGGGUCCAGGACCAGCUGACGUCCGUAACGAUCGACGACGACCUGGCCGACGAAGAGCUCCGUGUUUUCGCGCUAGCAGUCACAACUACGAGUUGGUCCAGGACCAGCUGACGUCCGUAACGAUCGACGACGACCUGGCCGACGAAGAGCUCCGUGUUUUCGCGCUAGCAGUCACAACUACGAGUUGGUCCAGGACCAGCUGACGUCCGUAACGAGCGACGACGACCUGGCCGACGACGUGCUUUACGUUUCUCCGCUGGGCAGUGACAACUAAAAGUGGGUCGAGCUAAUCCACGCGCUCAUGUGGUGCACCGAUGUCCCGGUUGCCCACAGGGAAUGGCGGCCAAUCUCAGCUGUCAGGACUUUGACGCACACGCCAACCUAAUUGGCAUGAACUCGCAAGACGCGAUGAACUGGCAGUGCU